UACGGAGGGGGCUAGCGUUGCUCGGAAUCACUGGGCGUAAAGCGCACGUAGGCGGCUUUUUAAGUCAGAGGUGAAAUCCUGGAGCUCAACUCCAGAACUGCCUUUGAUACUGGAGAGCUUGAGUCCGGGAGAGGUGAGUGGAACUGCGAGUGUAGAGGUGAAAUUCGUAGAUAUUCGCAAGAACACCAGUGGCGAAGGCAGCUCACUGGCCCGGGACUGACGCUGAGGUGCGAAAGCGUGGGGAGCAAACAGG
rnacentral:rRNA from 1 species